UACGUAGGGUGCAAGCGUUAAUCGGAAUUACUGGGCGUAAAGCGUGCGCAGGCGGUUUUGUAAGUCUGACGUGAAAUCCCCGGGCUUAACCUGGGAAUUGCGUUGGAGACUGCAAGGCUGGAAUCUGGCAGAGGGGGGUAGAAUUCCACGUGUAGCAGUGAAAUGCGUAGAGAUGUGGAGGAACACCGAUGGCGAAGGCAGCCCCCUGGGUCAAGAUUGACGCUCAUGCACGAAAGCGUGGGGGAGCAAACAGG
rnacentral:rRNA from 1 species